CGCAAGCUAGCACAACUGGCGGUGCAGCACCCUCAUAAGGUGAAGGUUUCGGGUUCGAAUCCCGAGCUUGCGACCA
rnacentral:tRNA from 1 species